UUAGGGAUAACAGCGUUAUCCUCCUUGAGAGUUCUUAUUGGCGGGGGGUUGCGACCUCGAUGUUGGAUUAAGGUGAAUUUUCGGUGUAGGAGCUGAAAGUGAUUAGGUCUGUUCGACCUUUAAAAUCUUACAUGAUCUGAGUUCAGACCGGCGUGAGCCAGGUUGGUUUCUAUCUAUAGAGUUGUUUUAUAUCUUAGUACGAGAGGACCGGGUAU
rnacentral:rRNA from 1 species